CCAAUUUUUCUCAUCUCUCAGACUAACACACACGCAGAUUCCCCUUUUCCCAGAAAUUAAUUAAUUAAUUAAUUAAUUAAUAAUAAAUAACCUCUUUUUUUCCCUUCUUCGUCUCUGAACUUCAAAACGUGCAAGCAAACCCCACAGUCCCUGUUUGUUUCCCAGGAAAACCAAAAUCAGUUUUUCGUGCAACAAAAUCCUCAAUUUUCCGGGAACCAAAGACGCACAAUGGUUUCCCGGGAAAACAGCAAUUGGCUCUUCGAUUACGGCUUGAUUGACGAUAUUCCUGUCCCUGAUGCCACCUUCACUGUUCCUUCCUCUGGCUUCUCCUGGCACCCGCAGGCCUUGAAUUCCUCUUCGAAUGUCGGUGUUGACAUUGAUGGUUCAAUGGGGGAUUCUGACGGUUUCAAAGAGUCUGGUUCAAAGAAGAGGGUUAGAUCUGAGUCAUGUGCUGCUUCUAGCUCGAAGGCAUGUCGGGAGAAGUUGCGAAGGGAUAGGCUUAAUGACAAGUUUGUUGAAUUGGGCUCCAUUUUGGAGCCUGGACGGCCUACCAAAACAGACAAGGCUGCUAUCCUGGUUGAUGCUGUCCGAAUGGUGACACAGUUACGAGGUGAAGCCCAGAAGUUGAAAGACACUAAUCUGGGUCUUCAAGAAAAGAUCAAAGAGUUAAAGGCUGAGAAGAAUGAACUUCGUGAUGAGAAACAGAGGCUCAAGGUAGAGAAAGAGAAGUUGGAGCAGCAGCUGAAAUCUUUGAAUGCACAGCCUAGUUUCAUGCCUCCCCCUGCUGCAUUUGCUGCGCAAGGCCAACCGCAUGGCAAUAAGUUGGUACCUUUCAUUAGCUAUCCAGGAGUUGCAAUGUGGCAGUUUAUGCCACCUGCUGCAGUGGAUACCUCACAGGAUCACGUCCUCCGUCCACCAGUUGCCUAAGCUGGCACUGUAUAAUUCUCUGGGCUUCCAUUUUGGCCCAAGGUUGUAUCCAUUUACCAAUACCUUCUUGGCAUUAUACCAUUCCUUCAACUCAUCAAAAAGGUCACAUUUUCUCAUGAUCCAAUCUAUGAUGCCCUAAUGUGACAACUCUUGAUGAAGUAAUCCGAAAAGUCAAUAUACUUGGUCCACAAUGGCCUUAGAUGGGGAAAAGCUAUAUCUAGCCAUGGCUUUGCCCUGCCAUUGAAAUGGAUGACACCAGCACUCUCAGCAUCAGCAAAACUUGAAUUUUCCUGAUAUCCCAAUCCCAGCAUGUGCCAGAAAGGAUCAAUAGUGUGGACAUGCCCAUGGAAUGCUAUUAGUCCAGGAGGAUGGAAAGUGCAUAUACCUGCUCAACCCAGUAAUGGUAUCUAGAGCUUAUAUUGGUUUUCCUCCAAGCCUCCAGGUCAAAAAUGUUCAUGCCAUAAGCCCAAGCACAUUCAUUUGGAUCAAAAUUUUUGUAUAUUAGAGGAUGGGAGAAGUUCAAAUAGCUUUUCAACCUCUUUGACAUCACAAACUUAUCUUCUCCUGUGCAUGUUUCUACUGCUCCAUUGACUUUUCCAUUCAUGUCAAUGUCCCACAGAGGUGAAAGAUCAGUUUGUACCACAAUGUCAUCAUCGAGGAAGACGACCUUGUUAAGACUUGAGAACAACUGUUACGAAAUAUGUAUUAUGGCGGUGAUAAAGGGUGCAAUGAGAACCAAGCCUGCAUGGGAUAAUAAGUCUUCCUAUCUGUAAUUAUGUGCAGAACAACUUUCUGAGGUCGCAAACUGUUGCGAAUGAGUGAUGUUGCAACUACUGAGGCGGCGAGCACAUUGUCUGAGGCAAGGACAAAGUGGAAGUAGGAGUUGUCAACAAGGGCAGGGACAAGUUCUGCAGAGGGUAGCUGAAGCCGUGCUGCUGCAUUGUUGGUGUGCUCAUUGGCCAACCUCAAGUCAAGGCAGUGAAGUUGUUUGGGUAUGCUGCUUGAUGCUACAUGACGAUAUAAAUAUUCUUGGAUUUUGGCUGUUCUGGUCCUUUGCUCCAUAAAGGUUACCUACGAAAAUUUUCAGAAUUUAAGUGGAGACUUGAACUGGGAAAACUGUUACUUGUGCAUAUUAUUCUUCUAAUUUCCUCUAGAUUGAAAGACUGGGAAAAUGGUACCAUUUCUCUUAGUUUAAUUGCAAAUGUCUUGGCAUCAUAUCCACCUUCCUUCAUUUGGGUCAUGAACUCUUCUAAAGUCUGAGGAAUAUCAGACCUUCCCUCUAGCUCAUCUUUGCCUAGGGGUUCAUCUAAUAUUCCGUAUAUCACUUCUGGGACCUAUAAGAAACCAUUACCAUUUUCAGCAUCAUUAGAUAAUUCUGCUCAAUUAGCUACCAUAUGGAUUCAUAUGCUGAAAAUUUAAUUAAAAGAGUUAAGGAGAUUACAUUUGACUCAAGACUUCUUCCCAAAAUCUUUGGCUUCAGUUUUAUUCCCAGGCAACCUGCAAAUUUUAAUGUUUAGUAAAUCAAAAGGUCAUGUAUACAAAGAAAGGAAGACAAGAUGUUAAUUCAUUACCAUGGUUUUUAAGUUCUUUUAAUUUAUAAAAGCCCCAUUAAUCAAUAAAAAGUUUGAAUACAGCUGAAUAACUACUUUUAAAUAGUGAAAAGUCCAAAGAUAUACUUUGAUAUAUUGAAACUAGAAGUUUUAUUCACCCUGCGGUUUAUCCUUUUGUGUGUUUUAGGUUGUUGACUUCAUGUGUAUACAUGUGUGUGUGUGUGUGUGUGUGUGUGUGUGUGUGUGUGUGUGAGAGAGAGAGAGAGAGAGAGGUUGAUAAUGUACCUAUGGAAGAGCACUUGUUUUCUCCAUCAAUGCCAUCCACUGCUGUCAAAACAAACACAAACCGAAGAAGAAACGUGAAGAACAGAAGUGAAUAGAAGAGCAUCCGAUAAGAAAGCCUCCUUGAUGCAACCUUCACUUUGAUAAAUUCCUUCAACCCUUUUCCAGGAAGUACAGUGACAUGCCUCAAACUUGGUGAUAUCUGCAGCAACAUUUUGUCCAAAAACACAAGAAGGCAAGGCAACACCAAAAGCAGAAGCAACAACAGUGCCUUAAGUCCCUCCUCUUCAACAAGUAGUAGUAGCAGUAGUUUUAGUGUAUUUCAUUUGGCAAUUCACCAUCUGAUCAACAACAAAGCAGAAAAAACUGCAAGAGCCCACAUCAGGUUAUUCUGUAAAAGGAAGGUCUUGAUGGUGCUUAAGGACUUAGGGUUGCUGUCUUUCACCUAACCUUGCUUAGCAUUUGGGACAGGCAUGACAAUGGGGUGUUUGAAGGCUUUUAAUGUUGUUGUGGAGAGCUAUGAGAGGAGGGGGUUGUUAAGGAGAAAGAGACAUGGGACUGAUAAGGACGAUGUUGUUUGUUUCAAGUUUUGGCUAUUGACUUGAUUUUUAAGGUGGCAAGUUAAGGAACAAAGAGUAGAAAAUUAAAUACAAAAAACUUUGGCGUAUGCUUGGCUUUGCCUCCACAUGAAGUUGUUUUGUUUGGCAUGUAGAGAGUUUAGAGUUUGGAGACUCUGACAGAACGGAACUUCUACAUGGAAAAUGACUGCCUUUCUUUCUAUCUCUAGUGUGUGGGGUUCAGAAUGUGGUUGUUGGAGUGAAAAUUCAGAAAACAUUAAUUCUAUUUCUUGAAAGAAAACUAAUAUUUUUUU